CCUACGGGAGGCAGCAGUGGGGAAUAUUGGGCAAUGGGCGCAAGCCUGACCCAGCAACGCCGCGUGAAGGACGAAGGCUUUCGGGUUGUAAACUUCUUUUCUCAGGGACGAAGAAAGUGACGGUACCUGAGGAAUAAGCCACGGCUAACUACGUGCCAGCAGCCGCGGUAAUACGUAGGUGGCAAGCGUUAUCCGGAUUUACUGGGUGUAAAGGGCGUUUGGGCGGGACUGUAAGUCAGAUGUGAAAACCACGGGCUCAACCUGUGGCCUGCAUUUGAAACUGUAGUUCUUGAGUACUGGAGAGGCAGACGGAAUGCCUAGUGUAGCGGUGAAAUGCGUAGAUAUUAGGAGGAACACCAGUGGCGAAGGCGGUAUGCUGGAGAGCAACUGACGCUGAGGCGCGAAAGCGUGGGGAGCAAACAGGAUUAGAUACCCUUGUAGUC
rnacentral:rRNA from 1 species